rnacentral:rRNA from 1 species
AUUGAACGCUGGCGGCAUGCUUUACACAUGCAAGUCGAACGGUAACAGGCCUUCGGGCGCUGACGAGUGGCGAACGGGUGAGUAAUGCAUCGGAACGUGCCCAGUCGUGGGGGAUAACGCAGCGAAAGCUGUGCUAAUACCGCAUACGAUCUGCGGAUGAAAGCGGGGGACCUUCGGGCCUCGCGCGAUUGGAGCGGCCGAUGUCAGAUUAGGUAGUUGGUGGGGUAAAGGCUCACCAAGCCAACGAUCUGUAGCUGGUCUGAGAGGACGACCAGCCACACUGGGACUGAGACACGGCACAGACUCCUACGGGAGGCAGCAGUGGGGAAUUUUGGACAAUGGGCGCAAGCCUGAUCCAGCAAUGCCGCGUGCAGGAAGAAGGCCUUCGGGUUGUAAACUGCUUUUGUACGGAGCGAAAAGGCUCCCUCUAAUACAGGGGCUCAUGACGGUACCGUAAGAAUAAGCACCGGCUAACUACGUGCCAGCCGCCGCCGUAACAC